UAAAGCCUGAGGGAGAGGCUGGUGAAGGGUCACAAGUCCAUCAUGUCCCAGGUAAAACAACUGAGGUGAGGAAAGAUGAGGGUGGGAGGCUAGGUGAAUUCUGUAAGGUUCUGGAGACCCUGUGGACUCCAGCAAUGGUUCAAGUCAGCAAUCUGUGCGUUUGCACCACCCAUGCGAGAACAGCAGUGAGCAAACCAAGAAGCCUCAGCAUAAUGGCAUCAGGGUGACCAGAUCUGCAAGUGUGGUCUCAGCAAGGGCUUGGAGAGCUGUAUCGUGAUGUCACAACUCCUGCAUUCUUUGCCUGGACCAAUAAAGGUUUGGAGUCUGGUGAAAGGACAACCCCUUUCUUCACCUCAGAAUCCUCUGUGGUGACGCAUUUGAUGGUGAGCGAGGCAAACUUCCCCUGUUCGAGGGUCGCAGUGUGGUGGUCAUUCAUCUCCAGGUCUCUGUCAUUCUUCAACCAGGUCACCUCAGGAAUUGGGUCUCCAAAUACGGUGGAUGUGAGGCUCAGUGUCUGGAGCACACAAGCUGACUUUGCAGAAACGUCUGCCCACUUUCCAGAAGCCCCAUCCAAUGGGCUUCUCAACCCGUGCAGCACAGUGGGUAGAGCCGCUGCCUUCCCACUCCGGAGACCCGGGUUUGAUCCUGACAACGGGAUCGUAGGCUUCGGGUUUCCAGCCAUGGAGGGUCAGUGAGUCAAGCAGCCACUGUAAACCAUCCAAGUGUACAGAAGGGGUGAGAGACGUUCCAGUUUUUAAAAAAAAGGCAGAAAAUGGAUGAAAUUAACAAGCAACGAGUACCGCCAUGGGUUCAUAAACAUUGAGCACUGGUAAUGAAUGAUAUAAAGGAGAAAUGGCUGGUUAUAUCAGAAAGAUGGAUGCAUUUGAUUGCACAAUAGAUAACUGAAUGAUGUACACCGAAGGAAUUUAGCAAUAUUUUGAAGCAAGUGAAAUAGCCAGUGUUGCUGAGUGCAAUGAGUGGAAAAACAUACAGUUUGCUUAUAAGUUUAAUUGCUCCAAGCAAACCAGUCAAAAAUAGCUUUGCUGAUAUCGGGAAUGUAAUGCAGGAACAUUUAGAACCAAAACCAUUGUUGAUUGCAGAAAACUUUAGGUUUUAUCAGAGGAAUCAAAUGGAAGGGGAGUCCAUUUCAGCCUGUGUAGCUGAAUUGAAGCAAUUGUUUAGUUUGUGGAAUCUUCAAGAAAGCAUUCAGAAUGACUCCCAACUGAAGCACAAUGGACAAUUAACAGAACAGCUGUAAUCACAGUAUCAAUGGAAACUGCAUCCAGAGACACAAUUGAGUUGCUAUCAGGAAUGAAACUGAAACUGAACAUGAACAAAAUUUCAAUGUCCAAACAGAAACCUGCCUGGCCAAACAAAUUGUGAUACCUUUGUGGCAGUGGCUUGCAAACACCAGACCAAUGCAGGUUUAAAGGCUAAGCAUGCAGAAAAUGCAACAAAAUUGGACAUGGAGAAGAGAAAAAGGUAAAAAAAAACUCAGUUUCAAAAAGAGCACUAAUCUAUAUGUAGUUGAUGAAAACUCUGAUAAUCAUGAGAGUGAGAUAGGAAUGGGGUAGCCUUGAGAUUUACAAUGUGAAAACUAACAAGAGACGAGCAAUUAUGGUUUACAUCAGAAGUGAACAGAAAAUUAAUUAAAAUGAAAUUGGAGACUGGCUUGGCUGUUUGUCAUUCCACAAAAUCAAGGAUACUGAACUAAAGCCUGCAAAUGUCCAACUAAGAACUUAUAUUGGAGAAAAGAUAACUCCUGUGGGAAUUACAUAUAUAACAGUGAAGUACAACAACCAACAAGCCACAUUGGGCUUGUAUGUGGUAAAAACAGGAGGCCCAGCAUGUGGGCCUGUGGUUGGUUGAGACAACUACAACUUGACUGACAAUCCUUCCACCAUUUAAAUGCCACAUCCCCUGCAGACAGGUCAAGUGAAAGCAAAUUAAGGAGGGUACCAGAGGAUGGCACAGCAGUGUUCAAGGAUGGCAUUGCAAAACUCAAACAUAUCAAGGGUAAACUAGUGUUAAAUUAAAAUGCCACACCCAAGUUUUACAAAACUCAUCUGAUUCCUUAUAACAUCUGUGAGAAAGUGAGAAGAUCGCAUGGAGGCUGAAGGAGCCCAUGGGGAAUGGCAGUGGUUCCAAUGGCCACAGGAUGAGUCAGCCAUGAUGUGUCAUGAUUUUAAGGUCACUAUCAGCCCAGUUCUGAAAAUAGAUCAAUAUCCUCUGCCCAGGAUAGAGGAUAUAUUUACAAACCUUUCUGGAGUGAAACACUUCAGCAAAGUAGAUGUAGCUGAGGUUUACCUCCUUAAGAUUGUUAUAGCCAGGAGUAAUGGGGACAAGGUCCUACUACAUAUUAAAUGCUCCCAAUGGCGUGUGCCUCAAAUAGCCCCUGACAACCAAGUCCAGCUCCUGGCCUUCACAUGUGGCUUAGCUACUAAGCCCAGAGGAACCGUUUCAUCUGACUGGAGAAGGGGCAAAGGCAGGUACUGGCAGCUUAAAACCAGUCACUUCGGGUCGAUGGGGUUCGUCAGCCAUGGUUGGCAGUUCAUCUAGGAGGAGGAAAACUCUGAUCUAAAACUUCUGCUGCUUUGUGGCUAUACCCCUCAUGAGGAAGGCAUCAGGAGAAAACGCCAAGGGAAAAAUCCAGAACUGGCAUCCCUAAAGUAGUCCUAUGUUGAGUUCAGUGCUGACUGGCAGCUCUUGCAACACUGCUGGGACCAAACUGUAUUGGCCUCUGUUGUUCCUUUAGGUUCAUCAGAUGCAUGGAGAGGGAGAGCUUGCUGCAUGGGCAACAGCUUGCGUAUCUGGACAGCUGGGGUGCAACAUCCUUGGUCGACCCUGACUGAAGGAGACCUCAUUUGCUCAACUAUAGUUGGAGAUUGGAGCAGAGUCCAAAGUGUUUUUCACCAUAAAUACUCAUAAGGGACUUUAUUGCUACAAUAGGCUUACUUUUGGAGUGGCAUCUGCCCAGGCACUCAGUGUUACUUGGAUGAUAUCAUUGUUACCAGUGAGGAUGACACAGAAUAUUUCCAAAAUCUCAAGACAGUGCUGCAGAGAAAAAUUACAUACAGAUUGCCAGAGAGGCCUUAAGUCUGGUUUGGGCUGUGGAACAUUUCAACCUGUACCUGUAUGGGAGAGCGUUUACCCUCAUUACUCAUCAUCAGCUAUUAUUGACCUAGAUGGUCAAGAUGGCACUUGGGUGUAACAUUUCUUCAGUCAACAUCUUCUGGGUAGAUCAUGAAACCAGAUAUUUCACUUCUUUUAUGUCUCUUAUGUUUAUUUUUCAUCUUAAAUGUGAUUCUGGAGUUGUUGGAGCCUGUGAUUUGUAGCUUGGAGAUCAUUUGGGUAUUUCAGUGCUCCGCAGUCUCCGAGAGGAUUUUAGGAGCCAGAGGUGGUGUGAGCAAACCUCACGGCAAGAAGGCUGCCGGAUGGGGUGUAAACUAAUGUUCAACUCAAAUUCACUGGUUAUAGCUUCCAUUGUUUGCCGAUUAAAACAAUGAAGAAGAUUGAAACAUCAAGGCAAAUGUGGAAGGUGCACGCUGGUUGCCUGCCUUUUGAUUGCUGGUGGGAUCGCUCUGCUACAGUGAAGGAAAGGCCUGCCGCUGAGGCCAGAGAAUGUCGCCCAGUGUUUCUGCAUUUUGGACAUGGACUUGGACGUGAUUUUUUUCCCAGACUUUUUUAUAUUGUGUUUCUCACUUGGUUUUUUGUGUGCCGGGGAGGAGGAUUUGUGGGUUGAUGUGCCUGUUCCAUUUUAGUUUGUUUUUUUCUGUGUGGGGAGGAGGGUUUUGGGGGUUGGUCAUGCUACCAUUCUUAUCAUUGCGUGGCUACCUGAAGAAGAAGAAUUUCCGAGUUGUAUACUUCGAUGAUAAAUGAACCUUUGAACCUUUUUAAACCAUUUUCAAUCCAAGGAAGUGUGUUCCACUAAGAGCAGCAGCACGAAUGCAGAGAUGAGCUCUGUUUCUUGGAGGAUACAAUUACAAGAUCGAAUUCAAGAGGAGAAAUAACCAUGGAAAUGUUGAUGGAUUGUCCUAUUUACCCUUGGAAAAGGAAAUACCUGUAAAACUUACAAAAGAGGACACUCCUCUUGACAUAUUCUCCCUAAUACAAAUGAAAGUCUCCAUAUUAUGGCAGAGAUAAUCCAAAGGGAAACUAGAAAAGACCCCACACUGCCUUAGGUUUACACGGCAACCUAAAAUGGCUGACGUGUGCAGCAGAAGCUACAAUUUUUACCAGCGCUGGAAUGAACUUGCCCUUGAUGGAGUUGUCUUAUGUGGGGAUUGAAAGUUGUUGUACCAUCCAGGCUGAGAGCUGAAGUGUUGAAGGAACUACACAUUCAGGUCAUCCAGCCAUAGUCAAAAUGUAAGUGUUGGCUUGAAACUUUGGUGACCUGGGAUAGUUUAGCAAAUCGAGCAGCUUGCCAUGCACUCUUCGGGAUGCCAACACAUCCAAAAUUUAUUACGAGCAGCACCUCUCCAUCCUGGAGAAUGGCUUGCACUCACAGGCAGAGGAUUCAUGUGGAUUUUGCCAGACCAUUCAUGGGCACAAAUUUCUUGGUCAUAGCAGAUGCAGCUACAAAGUGGACAGAAGUGUUUCCAAUAAUCUCCAUUACAGCCUUGCACAUCACUGAUGUUUUGAGAGGUUUCAGGUGUUCAAGAACACUUGGUCAGUGACAAUGGACCACAGUUUGUUGUGGAACAGUUUAAGUCAUUCCUGAAAAUGAAUGGAAUAAGUCAAAUUACAUCUACACUGUACCAGCCAGCUACAAACGUCUUGGUGGAAAAGUUUGUCCAGAGUCUAAAGAAUACACUGCGAGCAACGUCAGCAGAACAUUCUACACUGAAUCAGAAGCUUGCCAAUUUCCUCCUUGCAUAUCGCAGUGCAGCACAUUUCACAACCAACAGCCCACCAGCUAUGCUGUUCCUGGGUCGUCCUUUGUGUUGAUGCUUGGAUCUCCUCAAACCCAGUCUCAGAAGGAGUUGGCAGGACAAACUGUUGAGACGAAUUGAGGGCUUCUCAAACAAAGAGGUUCAAUGCAGUCAUGGUGAGGGACUAGAAAGAUUAUCAAAAGUUGGCUACUUGAAAAGAUUAAUGACAGAACUGAAACACUCUCCUACAUAUUGGAGAUUGCAUCUGAUGUCAUUUGGAGAUGACACAUCAGUCAAUUGAGGAGAGCAGAGUACAUCGUCAAAGAAGAAAGGUGUCCAGAGCUGUCAGACCCACUUCCUACAGUCUCAGAGUCAAUUCCUGCAAUCACCACGGAGGUCUCAGAACAUGAGAUUGCUUCAUAGCCAUAAGUCGCACCUGCCAAGCUGAGUGACCGCCCCUUGCCCUGCCCCCUCUUAGAAAAGAUGUUAUCCUGCAACAGUAAGAAAUCCUCCACAGCGAUUAAAUCUUUAGGCCUGAAUGGGACAAUAUGAAAUUUACUAUGCUAUGGAUGUCCAUGGAGUAGUUGUAUUACAUAGUAUACAGUGUGUGUGUAUACAUACAUACAGACGAUGACUAGAGAGCAAUACGUUACAUAUUUGAGUGCUAGUGUAAAUGUAUUGUUUGGUGAAGCAUUCUUUGUUUACAUAAUUCAUUCUGGAUUGUAUGCAAGAAAUACAUGAUUAGCACAUAUCUUUACUCCACCAAAUCAUAUGUGUGCACCUCACAGAAAACAAUGAAAGAGGCCUACAGGCAUCGAUGGGAAAAUUAAGAAAUAUUGUACAAUAGAAGUUAUGAACAUUAUACAUAAAGAAAGACUGACUGUA